AUUCAGCUGACAAGUCCUAAAUAGGACUAAACGCGCAUCAAACUGGAU
rnacentral:hammerhead_ribozyme from 1 species